UACGGAGGGGGCUAGCGUUGUUCGGAAUUACUGGGCGUAAAGCGCACGUAGGCGGCUUUGUAAGUUAGAGGUGAAAGCCUAGGGCUUAACUCUGGAAUUGCCUUUAAGACUGCAUCGCUAGAAUCGUGGAGAGGUGAGUGGAAUUCCGAGUGUAGAGGUGAAAUUCGUAGAUAUUCGGAAGAACACCAGUGGCGAAGGCGACUCACUGGACACGUAUUGACGCUGAGGUGCGAAAGCGUGGGGAGCAAACAGG
rnacentral:rRNA from 1 species